rnacentral:misc_RNA from 1 species
AAAGUCGUAACAAGGUUUCCGUAGGUGAACCUGCGGAAGGAUCAUUAUCGAAUUUAAAGCUUGGUUGAGCUGUCGCUUCGGCGUACGUGCUCGCCUCGCCGUCCAUUCUCAACACCUGUGCACACUCAAGUUCUUUCUGUUCUUCCCAUAGCGCUUUCUAUUGCUUGUCUCUUCAUUGAGGCGGUAAGAAGGAGCGUGAAAGGUCGAAUAAGGAUGAGCUGCCUUUUAACACACCCUUCUUUUAAAAUGUCUAUGAACGUCAAAUGUAGGCUCGCCUUAAAAACGUGAUGCUGAAAUUAAAAAUAAUACAACUUUUAACAACGGAUCUCUUGGCUCUC